rnacentral:sRNA from 2 species
AUAAAAAAAUGGCCGAAUCCUAUUCAGCAUAAGAAUGGGUACGGGGGAUGAUUUACCUGGGGUGAAUGUUCGUUUUUUGCGAACUAGGGAGCUACCUCUUCCGAAUCCGUCAACUAACCUCGAAGGCUGCAGGAGGAAUCUGA